rnacentral:lncRNA from 1 species
GGAACACAUAUCAUAAUAAUUUUGUUUAGGGUAUAUCUCAUAAUACUUGCUAGGAUGGUUAGUGACACAAACCAAGAACAAGAGAAAAACUACCAUCACAAUGAAAUAUAAUCACUGCCUGCCGUCUUGAGUUCCUAAAAGGUUCCACCCAUAUUUUCCUGGAGCAAUGAAACACAAACCUGCACAAUUUCUCAAAUAGGGAAUAGAUGAAGUAUGCAAAUCAGAUGUAGUAUUAAGAGAACAAAAAAUAGCAAUGUCAUUAAAGGAUCACUUACAAUCAAUAGCAGAAGCAGCAAUACGAUUUUGCUUGUCUCCAUCAGCUCUGGACCGGAUACCC